rnacentral:rRNA from 1 species
UACAGAGGGGGGCAAGCGUUGUUCGGAAUUACUGGGCGUAAAGGGCGCGUAGGCGGCCCGCUAAGUCGAACGUGAAAUCCCCCGGGCUCAACCCGGGAACUGCGUCCGAUACUGGUGGGCUUGAAUCCGGGAGAGGGAUGCGGAAUUCCAGGUGUAGCGGUGAAAUGCGUAGAUAUCUGGAGGAACACCGGGUGGCGAAGGCGGCAUCCUGGACCGGUAUUGACGCUGAGGCGCGAAAGCCAGGGGAGCAAACGGG